rnacentral:lncRNA from 1 species
UUGAGGCUGAUUCUUUUUUUCCCUGAUAUUAAAUUAUAUUUUUUGAUUUUGUAUUCUUAUAGAUUUUUUUCUGGAGAAAAGAAGCAGCCUGCUUCUACUUUAACUGAAAUUGAAGUUAAAUUGGCAAAUUUAUUUCAAUCUGAAUUUCUCACACUCUUGACUACUUUCAACUGAAAGCCUGAAAACUACCAGCUGCUCAAUAUGCUUAUGGAAGGAAAAAGAAAAUGAAAAGGACAGAAAGCAUUAUACAAUUGACAUAGAAAGAACUAUAAUAACAUUCAUGGAAUCUUGGAAUUAAUUUACUGAUGGUAACGAGUACAGGAUCCUGGGAGAGAUUUUGCCUAGCAUGAGAAAGGCUCUGGGUUUGAAUCCCAACUCCACAAAAAGCAAGACAAAUAAAAACACCUGAAAUCUUCAGCAUAUUUCAUCCUCUUCUGUUUGUUCAGUUUUCUUAAUGGAAAGUAGGAGUUCCAGAUAAAAUGAAAGUUUAUAAAAUUUCCUAAUAUACAUUUAUUUGUUCAUUAAUAUGAAAAAUCCCGAAAGACAUAAAAAUAUGACAAUGACCAGUCAUUAUUCCACCUAAAUAUCUAAAAUGAAUAAUAAACAGCCUGUCUUGUUUAUCUCAUCCCACCUUGCCUAGGUAAUACUUGUUAAUUUGUUGGUGCCCA